UGCAGCAUGUGAAUUGCCACAGAGAGACUAACGUGUUUAUUAGCUUUGACACAGCAAACAAACAAGCAGCACCAGGCCUUCAGCUCUGAAGAAAAGUAGUGCCUGACAUUCUAUAAGAGGAAAUUGGGAGACAUUGAAAACUUAUGAGGAAGAAGUGCUGACAUGUGCAAAGUGAUUACUUCUGAAGGUUGAUCAGGGGCUGGAAUCUAGUUCAUCUUGGACUGAGAAAUGCAUUAUGAAAACCAUUCAACAAGGACCAGAUCAGGCUGUCUCACUGUUUAUAUCAAGAGCCUUUUCAGCAAAAUGACCACAAUACAACACCAGAUUCAAAAAUGACUGAGAGGAAUCAUUUGGAGAAUGUGGGAGAAUAAACAGCUAGAGCAUGUGGGAAUAUGUAUAUGAUCACAGAUCAUUUAAAAAGAAACUACUGUCCUCCAUUUAGAUAGUACAAUGUAAUUAUUAACAGAAGGGAAAAAAUAAGUACUCUACUAUUUUAACACUGUUGCAUUACAUACGGGUUUUAAAAGAUUCCUAAUAUGAGUCUAUGUGUCUAUAUUUUAGGAGGCAAAGCUCUUGUAAAGAAUAUAACGAAUUACAGCAGUGAAUUCAAAUAUCUAAGAAGGAAUCUGUUCUCUAGAUUUCUUUAGAGAUUCAUUAAAAUGAAAGAAUGUCUUUUGACUUACCAGUUGUACUCUGGAAAUAGAGUUGAAAUAAAAUCUUAACUUGGAUGUGUGUACACACAAAAAUAUAUACUCAUCUAUAACUACCUAUAUAUGUAUAUGCAUAUACAUAUAGAAAUGUUCCCCAGCAAGCCUAUCUUAGCUCAUGUUUGACAUCUAGAUGACAGCAUAUGAAUAUGACACAUUACCCUUUCUCACUGUUAAUCAUAAGAGUUCAUAGUGAUAUGAAUCCCACUAUAAAAUAUGAGUCCUGUGCUACUCAACCCCAACACUGCCAUGAAUUAUUUUUAAGGGGCAGACUUUUUUAAACAUACUAGUCUUGUUUUUACCACCAACUGUAAAAUCUAUAUGAAUGGAAGGAAACUAAGCAUGGUCAACAUUUCCCUAGCUAUCACCAGGAUUGGCAGCAAAUUUCCCUAGACUCUAAGAACAAUACAACAUAACCCGCAGAUGACCGUGCUCAUCAGAUAUAAAGUGUCCAAAGAUUAAGUCAUAGCAGUAAAUACUUGAAUCAUAUCCCAACUUCACUUAAAUAUAAAUUCAAGGAAGUAUUUUAGCAAAAAAAGAAUGUGUAUGUCAGAAAAAUAAGUGACAGUCUUUUCAAAAAUGCUCUUUUAGAAAUCUCAGGGAUUUGUGCUAUCCCCUAGCAGUGGAUACAAAUUUCUAAUGUUUUCAACACAAUUCUAAUGUAUAUUAGUGGCUCUGCUCAUCUUUUAUCUCUAUGGAGAGUCUAAGGAGCCCAGGAAAUGAUUCAAAGAAGGAGACAGAAGGAACAGAAAGCAUGAGCCUUUCUACUGGAAGCAAAAUUGUCCUCUAUCUCCAGGAUAGAGAAGACAUGAGCUGUGACUUGCCCUGAUCUUCCCUUUGCUCUAAUCUUGUAAGCUUCCAGAGGAGAUGAGCUUGGAAUGUGGGAAAGUGUAGGGAAGUGGGUAGAGGGUGGGUGCUCGAGAAGAGAAGGAAUUCCUCCAUUUCCUUAUACCACAAACAGUUGAUGGCAACUUGAGAUGGAAGUGCAUGGGAGAGUUAGACUCAAGUCCUGAAAGGCCAGAUUCUGAAGGCACUUUCCUAAUCUAAGAAAGAGCUGGGACACUGACAGAUUUCCAGCAGAAGCACAUGGCAUAAGCUGACAUCUAUGUUGAUGUGGUCCAAAAUGGGAAAUUCAUGGACAGUGCUCCUGAACUUCAAUAUCUUAUGUUGAGAAAGGAAAGCCCUUUGUUCCUGGGAUUCAUGGUCCCAGAAUUUAACCUUCUAAUCAAAGAGGAUGGUUAGCACCAGCCUUGGGAGUUUGCCUUGACGGUAGCCUCAAGUUUGAGAGUCCCCAGAUGUGAAAUCAUUCAAGUCCAAGAGUUCAGAAAUCUAAAAUCUGAGAAAUGAAGAUGAAUGCUUACAUGCCAAGCAGCAUCCUUUUUGAGAAAGGAGAGGUAUAUACACAUAGUUACUUAACAGCAUCUGGCCUUGGAGAAAGAAGACCAUUGCUCAUGCGUGCCUACUACAUCUGAAGGGCUAAAGCCAAAUCAGGGAUGUUGGAGAGAUCAGAGAUGGGCCUUUGCCACUCUCUCUCAUGGUGAGGUAUUUCCAACACAUAUAGGGUCACAACCCACAGUUUAAGAAGCACUGAAAGGGUCACAGGGAGAAAAAGUUUAAGAAGCCCUGAUUUAGAAAGCAGUGGUCCCAAAAGAAGGGGUACUACAAUUUAGGAGUUCCAAAAAGUGAAUUUCUUUUCCCACAUAGUCGAAGACCUCAACAGAUUCUCUGUGGGAUUUAAGGGAAAAUUACUAAAAUAUUGGAACUACUAUGUGCGUGUGUGUGUAUGUGUUUUAAGCUGUCUAUGAGUUUUUGAGUAUUGUUUGAGUUUUCUCUAUCUGUUGACAUGGUCCACUGAGUUCUUUGCAUCUUCUGGAAGUUUCAUGGGAUUCA